CCAGCAACUUGGAGGAAUGUAUAGCGAAAGCUAAUUGUAUUAACCAACAGUUGAUGCAAUAUCGACUAUGUCGACUAAAAUUCUAGGUAGAGUAAUGAUAAUGACAUUUUUUACCUAUAGGUCUUGACCAAAUCACGUGCCAGCAGUCGCGGUAAUACGUGGAAGACUAGUGUUAUUCAUAUUUAAUAGGUUUAAAGGGUACCUAGACGGUAUAUCUAGCCCAAAAAGGGUACUGGUAAACUAGAGUUUAAUGUGAGGGGGGGAGUACUAAUGGAGUAGAGAUGAAAUUCUGUCAUACCAAGAGGUAACAGGUAUCGGCGAAAGCAACCCUUUAUGCAAAAACUGACGUUGAGGGACGAAGGCCUCGGUCACAAACAGGAUUAGAUACCCUAGUAGUCUGGGCAGACAACGCUGAAUGCCAUAGAUUAGAUUGUAUUUCUUCUAUAAAUGAAAGUGUAAGCAUUCCACCUCAAGAGUAAUUUGGCGACAUUGAAACUGAAAUCAUUAGACCGUUUCUGAAACCAGUAGUGAAGUAUGUUGUUUAAUUUGUUGGCCCUCAAAAAACCUUACCACAAUUUGAAUAUUUUUAUAUUUCUUAUAAUUAUACAGGAGUUGCACGGCUGUCUUCAGUUAAUGUCGUGAGAAUUUGGUUAGUUCCAAAAAAUUAACGUAAACCCUUACUUUAUUUUUUUUUAUAAAGUUGUUCACCGCUAUAUUGGAUAUGAUAAAAGGGACUAAGACAAGUC
rnacentral:rRNA from 1 species